GCUGGCGGCGUGCUUAACACAUGCAAGUCGAACGAUGAAGCCUGUAACUUGUUGUGGGUGGAUUAGUGGCGAACGGGUGAGUAAUACGUGAGUAACCUGCCCUCCUUUUUGGGAUAAGCCUUGGAAACGGGGUCUAAUACCGGAUAUUCUGGCAUGCUCGCAUGGGUGUGUUGGGAAAGCUUUAUGUGAAGGGGGAUGGGCUCGCGGCCUAUCAGCUUGUUGGUGGGGUGAUGGCCUACCAAGGCGGUGACGGGUAGCCGGCCUGAGAGGGUGACCGGCCACAUUGGGACUGAGAUACGGCCCAGACUCCUACGGGAGGCAGCAGUGGGGGAUAUUGCACAAUGGGCGAAAGCCUGAUGCAGCGACGCCGCGUGGGGGAUGAAGGCUUUCGGGUUGUAAACCUCUUUCGCUAUCGAACAAGGCUCAUUUUUUGGUGGGUUGAGGGUAGGUGGAGAAGAAGCGCCGGCUAACUACGUGCCAGCAGCCGCGGUAAUACGUAGGGCGCGAGCGUUGUCCGGAAUUAUUGGGCGUAAAGGGCUUGUAGGCGGCUUGUUGCGCCUGCUGUGAAAACGCGGG
rnacentral:rRNA from 1 species